CCUGGCUCAGGAUGAACGCUAGCUACAGGCUUAACACAUGCAAGUCGAGGGGCAGCAUGGUCUUAGCUUGCUAAGACUGAUGGCGACCGGCGCACGGGUGAGUAACACGUAUCCAACCUGCCGUCUACUCUUGGACAGCCUUCUGAAAGGAAGAUUAAUACAAGAUGGCAUCAUGAGUCCGCAUGUUCACAUGAUUAAAGGUAUUCCGGUAGACGAUGGGGAUGCGUUCCAUUAGAUAGUAGGCGGGGUAACGGCCCACCUAGUCUUCGAUGGAUAGGGGUUCUGAGAGGAAGGUCCCCCACAUUGGAACUGAGACACGGUCCAAACUCCUACGGGAGGCAGCAGUGAGGAAUAUUGGUCAAUGGGCGAGAGCCUGAACCAGCCAAGUAGCGUGAAGGAUGACUGCCCUAUGGGUUGUAAACUUCUUUUAUAAAGGAAUAAAGUCGGGUAUGGAUACCCGUUUGCAUGUACUUUAUGAAUAAGGAUCGGCUAACUCCGUGCCAGCAGCCGCGGUAAUACGGAGGAUCCGAGCGUUAUCCGGAUUUAUUGGGUUUAAAGGGAGCGUAGAUGGAUGUUUAAGUCAGUUGUGAAAGUUUGCGGCUCAACCGUAAAAUUGCAGUUGAUACUGGAUAUCUUGAGUGCAGUUGAGGCAGGCGGAAUUCGUGGUGUAGCGGUGAAAUGCUUAGAUAUCACGAAGAACUCCGAUUGCGAAGGCAGCCUGCUAAGCUGCAACUGACAUUGAGGCUCGAAAGUGUGGGUAUCAAACAGGAUUAGAUACCCUGGUAGUCCACACGGUAAACGAUGAAUACUCGCUGUUUGCGAUAUACUGCAAGCGGCCAAGCGAAAGCGUUAAGUAUUCCACCUGGGGAGUACGCCGGCAACGGUGAAACUCAAAGGAAUUGACGGGGGCCCGCACAAGCGGAGGAACAUGUGGUUUAAUUCGAUGAUACGCGAGGAACCUUACCCGGGCUUAAAUUGCAGAUGAAUUACGGUGAAAGCCGUAAGCCGCAAGGCAUCUGUGAAGGUGCUGCAUGGUUGUCGUCAGCUCGUGCCGUGAGGUGUCGGCUUAAGUGCCAUAACGAGCGCAACCCUUGUUGUCAGUUACUAACAGGUUCCGCUGAGGACUCUGACAAGACUGCCAUCGUAAGAUGUGAGGAAGGUGGGGAUGACGUCAAAUCAGCACGGCCCUUACGUCCGGGGCUACACACGUGUUACAAUGGGGGGUACAGAGGGCCGCUACCACGCGAGUGGAUGCCAAUCCCAAAAACCUCUCUCAGUUCGGACUGGAGUCUGCAACCCGACUCCACGAAGCUGGAUUCGCUAGUAAUCGCGCAUCAGCCACGGCGCGGUGAAUACGUUCCCGGGCCUUGCACACACCGC
rnacentral:rRNA from 1 species